UACAGAGGUCCCAAGCGUUGUUCGGAUUCAUUGGGCGUAAAGGGUGUGUAGGCGGCGCCGUAAGUCAGGUGUGAAAUCUCGGGGCUUAACUCCGAAACUGCAUUUGAUACUGCUCUGCUUGAGGACUGGAGAGGAGACUGGAAUUCACGGUGUAGCAGUGAAAUGCGUAGAUAUCGUGAGGAAGACCAGUGGCGAAGGCGGGUCUCUGGACAGUUCCUGACGCUGAGGCGCGAAGGCCAGGGGAGCAAACGGG
rnacentral:rRNA from 1 species